rnacentral:tRNA from 1 species
UGCAUCGAUCGGGAAUCGAACGCGGGCCACCCGCGUGGCAGGCGAGCAUUCUACCACUGAACCACCGAUGG